rnacentral:sRNA from 1 species
GGCCUAAACCACCCUUAAAGGUUGGCAUGGCAUAAAAUCCGUUCAAGGUAGAAAACCCGUCGUCAGGGUUCCUUGAACGGUCGCAGGGGGAAACUUCUGCGUUCUGCCCGAAAGGGUAGA